GACGAGGUAGCCAAGCCCGGUAUGGCGCAGGAUUGCUAAUCCUGUGGUGCUCUGCACCUCGGGGGUUCGAAUCCCCCUCUCGUCGCCA
rnacentral:tRNA from 1 species